rnacentral:rRNA from 1 species
UACGUAGGGCGCAAGCGUUAUCCGGAAUUAUUGGGCGUAAAGGGCUCGUAGGCGGUUUGUCGCGUCGGGGAGUGAAAACUCAGGGCUUAACCCUGAGCCUGCUUCCGAUACGGGCAGACUAGAGGUAUGCAGGGGAGAAUGGAAUUCCUGGUGUAGCGGUGAAAUGCGCAGAUAUCAGGAGGAACACCGGUGGCGAAGGCGGUUCUCUGGGCAUUACCUGACGCUGAGGAGCGAAAGUGUGGGGAGCGAACAGG